UACGAAGGGGGCUAGCGUUGCUCGGAAUCACUGGGCGUAAAGGGUGCGUAGGCGGGUCUUUUAAGUCAGGGGUGAAAUCCUGGAGCUCAACUCCAGAACUGCCUUUGAUACUGAAGAUCUUGAGUUCGGGAGAGGUGAGUGGAACUGCGAGUGUAGAGGUGAAAUUCGUAGAUAUUCGCAAGAACACCAGUGGCGAAGGCGGCUCACUGGCCCGAUACUGACGCUGAGGCACGAAAGCGUGGGGAGCAAGCAGGG
rnacentral:rRNA from 1 species